rnacentral:rRNA from 1 species
AGCGCACACGGUGGAUGCCUUGGCGGUCAGAGGCGAUGAAGGACGUGGCAGCCUGCGAAAAGUAUCGGGGAGCUGGCAACAAGCUUUGAUCCGGUAAUGUCCGAAUGGGGAAACCCACCCGCUUGCGGGUAUCCUGCAGUGAAUACAUAGCUGCUGGAAGCGAACCUGGUGAACUGAAAUAUCUAAGUAACCAGAGGAAAAGAAAUCAACCGAGAUUCCGUAAGUAGCGACGAGCGAACGCGGACUAGCCCUUAAGCUGGAUUGGUUCUAGGAAAACGCUCUGGAAAGAGCGGCCAUAGAAGGUGAUAGCCCUGUAUCUGAAAGGGCCAUUCCAGUGAAGACGAGUAGGGCGGGGCACGUGAAACCCUGUCUGAACAUGGGGGGACCAUCCUCCAAGGCUAAAUACUACUGACCGACCGAUAGUGAACCAGUACCGUGAGGGAAAGGCGAAAAGAACCCCGGAGAGGGGAGUGAAAUAGAACCUGAAACCGUGUGCGUACAAGCAGUAGGAGCUCCGCAAGGAGUGACUGCGUACCUUUUGUAUAAUGGGUCAGCGACUUACUGUUCGUGGCAAGCUUAACCGUAUAGGGGAGGCGAAGGGAAACCGAGUCUGAUAAGGGCGCAUAGUCGCGGGCAGUAGACCCGAAACCGGGUGAUCUAGUCAUGCCCAGGGUGAAGGUGCGGUAACACGCACUGGAGGCCCGAACCCACUCCCGUUGCAAAGGUAGGGGAUGAGGUGUGAUUAGGAGUGAAAAGCUAAUCGAACCCGGAGAUAGCUGGUUCUCCUCGAAAGCUAUUUAGGUAGCGCCUCAUAUGUAUCCUCUCGGGGGUAGAGCACUGUUAUGGCUAGGGGGUCAUCGCGACUUACCAAACCAUUGCAAACUCCGAAUACCGAGACGGACUGUAUGGGAGACACACGGCGGGUGCUAACGUCCGUCGUGAAAAGGGAAACAACCCAGACCCACAGCUAAGGUCCCAAAUUCACUGCUAAGUGGAAAACCAUGUGGAAAGGCACAGACAGCCAGGAGGUUGGCUUAGAAGCAGCCACCCUUUAAAGAAAGCGUAAUAGCUCACUGGUCGAGUCGGUCUGCGGGGAAGAUUUAACGGGGCUAAGCAGUGAACCGAAGCUUGGGGUGCAUAACUUUGUUAUGCGCGGUAGAGGAGCGUUCCGUAAGCCGUUGAAGGUGGAUUGAGAAGUCUGCUGGAGGUAUCGGAAGUGCGAAUGCUGACAUGAGUAACGAUAAUGCGGGUGAAAAACCCGCACGCCGAAAGCCCAAGGUUUCCUUGCGCAACGUUAAUCGGCGCAGGGUGAGUCGGCCCCUAAGGCGAGGACGAAAGUCGUAGUCGAUGGGAAGCAGGUUAAUAUUCCUGCACCUCGCGUAAGUGCGAUGGAGGGACGGAGAAGGUUAGGUGUACCAGGCGUUGGUUGUCCUGGGGAAAGGCGGUAGGUUUGGAUCUUUGGCAAAUCCGGGAUCCUUUAAGACCGAGCACCGAGACGAGCCUUUAUGGCGAAGUCACUGAUACCACGCUUCCAGGAAAAGCUCCUAAGCUUCAGCUUACGCAGACCGUACCGUAAACCGACACAGGUGGGUAGGAUGAGAAUUCUCAGGCGCUUGAGAGAACUCGGGUGAAGGAACUAGGCAACAUGGCACCGUAACUUCGGGAGAAGGUGCACCCUUUUUGGUGGCUCGUGCGAGCUAUAGCUGAAGAGGGUCGCAGUAACCAGGCCGCUGCGACUGUUUAUCAAAAACACAGCACUCUGCAAACACGAAAGUGGACGUAUAGGGUGUGACGCCUGCCCGGUGCUGGAAGGUUAAUUGAUGGGGUCAGCCGCAAGGCGAAGCUCUUGAUCGAAGCCCCAGUAAACGGCGGCCGUAACUAUAACGGUCCUAAGGUAGCGAAAUUCCUUGUCGGGUAAGUUCCGACCUGCACGAAUGGCGUAACGACAGCGGCGCUGUCUCCACCCGAGACUCAGUGAAAUUGAAAUCGCUGUGAAGAUGCAGCGUUCCCGUGGCAAGACGGAAAGACCCCGUGAACCUUUACUAUAGCUUUACACUGAACGUUGAGUUCGUCUGUGUAGGAUAGGUGGGAGGCUAUGAAACCAUGGCGCUAGCUGUGGUGGAGCCAUCCUUGAAAUACCACCCUGUCGUGCUUGACGUUCUAACCUGGGCCCAUUAUCUGGGUCGGGGACCGUGUAUGGUGGGUAGUUUGACUGGGGCGGUCUCCUCCUAAAGAGUAACGGAGGAGCUCGAAGGUACGCUCAGCGCGGUCGGACAUCGCGCACUGUGUGCAAAGGCAUAAGCGUGCUUGACUGCAAGAUCGACGGAUCAAGCAGGUAGGAAACUAGGACUUAGUGAUCCGGUGGUUCUGUAUGGAAGGGCCAUCGCUCAACGGAUAAAAGGUACUCCGGGGAUAACAGGCUGAUACCGCCCAAGAGUUCAUAUCGACGGCGGUGUUUGGCACCUCGAUGUCGGCUCAUCACAUCCUGGGGCUGUAGUCGGUCCCAAGGGUAUGGCUGUUCGCCAUUUAAAGUGGUACGCGAGCUGGGUUCAGAACGUCGUGAGACAGUUCGGUCCCUAUCUGCCAUGGGCGUUGGAGAUUUGAGAGGGGCUGCUCCUAGUACGAGAGGACCGGAGUGGACGAACCUCUGGUGUUCCGGUUGUCACGCCAGUGGCAUUGCCGGGUAGCUAUGUUCGGAAGCGAUAACCGCUGAAAGCAUCUAAGCGGGAAGCGCGCCUCAAGAUGAGAUCUCCCGGGGCACAAGCCCCCUGAAGGAACCAUGUAGACUACGUGGUUGA